UACGAAGGGUGCAAACGUUGCUCGGAAUUAUUGGGCGUAAAGCGCACGUAGGCGGCUUAGCAAGUUGGAUGUGAAAGCCCUCGGCUCAACCAAGGAAGUGCAUCCAAAACUGCUGAGCUUGAGUACUUAAGAGGAUCGCGGAAUUCCCGGUGUAGAGGUGAAAUUCGUAGAUAUCGGGAGGAACACCAGUGGCGAAGGGCGGCGAUCUGGGAAG
rnacentral:rRNA from 1 species